UCUCUCUCUCCCCGAUCCAGAUCGACGCCGCCUCCCUCUCUCUCUCUCUCUCGCUUCCCGUCGCCAGCAGCGGUGCCCUCCUUCCCUCGCCCUCUCCUCCUCCCCUCCUCACGGCGCCUCCACCAUGCCACGAAUCCCGGCGACCCACCCCGUCUCCGCGCCCGCCUCGGCAACCACCUCCGCCACGCGUCCGAGUCCCAUCCAUGUCCGCGCCGGCUCCAUCCCUGUCUCCUUUCUUGGGAGGUGACCCACACCCGGCCCCACGGCGGGGGAGGGGCGGCGGCGGCCCCGUGUAGAUCCCAUCGGGAUCCUGUCCUGAUCACAGCGCGGACGCAUGCCCCAGACGCCAUGACCCGUCUCCCUCCCCUCCUCUAAUCAGGAAGGAGAGGCCAGGCGACGGCCAUGAACUCUCUCUGCCCGGGACGCCGCUCGCCAUCAAGGCAGGAGGCCGGCAACACGGUGGUGAUGACGCCAGCAUUCAGCACGGACAAUCCCUGCUCGAUUCGGCCAGGCUCGAGAUACACCCAUCCCUCGGCUCUGCUACUUCUCCCCGACUUAGGCGCUGAGCAACGGGAGAUAUAAGAGCGUGUGGCACCGCGCCGUGGUGAACUCGGACAGGCCGAGGAUGUCCAUCGCCUCCUUCCUAUGCAGCAUGGUUCUGCUUCUCCCCGACAUAGGCAAGGCACUCAAAGCCGCCAUGGGCACACCCUCUUGUCUUAGGUUUCGUUUGGUUAACCGUCGGUGUUAAUUACUGCUGCUCAUGAGCCUUGUAGUAUCGUUAGUGGUUCUGGGAAUUUAUGUACUGAUGUGCUGCUACUUUUGGAAUUAUUGCCUGGUGUA